rnacentral:rRNA from 1 species
CCUACGGGGGGCAGCAGUGGGGAAUUUUGGACAAUGGGGGCAACCCUGAUCCAGCCAUGCCGCGUGUGUGAAGAAGGCCCUCGGGUUGUAAAGCACUUUCAGUGAGGAAGAACGCCUGGUGGUUAAUACCCAUCAGGAAAGACAUCACUCACAGAAGAAGCACCGGCUAACUCCGUGCCAGCAGCCGCGGUAAUACGGAGGGUGCGAGCGUUAAUCGGAAUUACUGGGCGUAAAGCGCGCGUAGGUGGCUUGAUAAGCCGGUUGUGAAAGCCCCGGGCUCAACCUGGGAACGGCAUCCGGAACUGUCAAGCUAGAGUGCAGGAGAGGAAGGUAGAAUUCCCGGUGUAGCGGUGAAAUGCGUAGAGAUCGGGAGGAAUACCAGUGGCGAAGGCGGCCUUCUGGACUGACACUGACACUGAGGUGCGAAAGCGUGGGUAGCAAACAGGAUUAGAUACCCGGGUAGUC